GGGGCAGACUGUAAAUCUGUUGUCACUGACUUCGGUGGUUCGAAUCCACCCCCAUCCA
rnacentral:tRNA from 1 species